AGAGUUUGAUCAUGGCUCAGAACGAACGCUGGCGGCGUGCUUAAUACAUGCAAGUCGAACGUGAGGUGUAGCAAUACACUGAAAGUGGCGAACGGGUGAGUAACACGUAAGUAAUCUGCCUUUAAGAUUGGGAUAACCCUGCCAACGCGGGGCUAAUACCGGAUGUGGUCCAGAAGGCGCAUGUUUUUUGGAUUAAAGGAGUGAUCCGCUUAGAGAUGAACUUGCGGCCCAUUAGCUAGUUGGCGGGGUAACGGCCCACCAAGGCGUCGAUGGGUAGCCGGCCUGAGAGGGUGUACGGCCACAUUGGGACUGAGAUACGGCCCAGACUCCUACGGGAGGCAGCAGUAGGGAAUUUUGCGCAAUGGACGAAAGUCUGACGCAGCAACGCCGCGUGAAGGAUGAAGGCCCUCGGGUUGUAAACUUCUGUUGGAUGGGAAAAAAGCCUCGCAAGGGGAAUUGAUGGUACCAUUCGAGUAAGCACCGGCUAACUACGUGCCAGCAGCCGCGGUAAUACGUAGGGUGCAAGCGUUGUUCGGAAUCACUGGGCGUAAAGAGAGCGUAGGCGGGAUCGUAAGUUAGGAGUUUAAUGCAUGGGCUCAACCCAUGAUCUGCUUUUAAUACUGCGGUUCUUGAGUAUGGGAGAGGGCGAUGGAAUUCCAGGUGUAGCGGUGGAAUGCGUAGAUAUCUGGAAGAACACCAGUAGCGAAGGCGGUCGCCUGGCCUAAUACUGACGCUGAGGCUCGAAAGCUAGGGGAGCAAACAGGAUUAGAUACCCUGGUAGUCCUAGCCGUAAACGAUGAACACUAGUUGCUGGGGGAGUCAAUCUUUUCAGUGACGAAGCUAACGCAUUAAGUGUUCCCGCCCUGGAAAGUACGCUCGCAAGAGUGAAACUCAAAUGAAAAUCG
rnacentral:rRNA from 1 species